rnacentral:rRNA from 1 species
UGGGGAAUAUUGCACAAUGGGCGCAAGCCUGAUGCAGCCAUGCCGCGUGUAUGAAGAAGGCCUUCGGGUUGUAAAGUACUUUCAGCGGGGAGGAAGGCGAUAAGGUUAAUAACCUUGUCGAUUGACGUUACCCGCAGAAGAAGCACCGGCUAACUCCGUGCCAGCAGCCGCGGUAAUACGGAGGGUGCAAGCGUUAAUCGGAAUUACUGGGCGUAAAGCGCACGCAGGCGGUCUGUCAAGUCGGAUGUGAAAUCCCCGGGCUCAACCUGGGAACUGCAUUCGAAACUGGCAGGCUAGAGUCUUGUAGAGGGGGGUAGAAUUUCAGGUGUAGCGGUGAAAUGCGUAGAGAUCUGGAGGAAUACCGGUGGCGAAGGCGGCCCCCUGGACAAAGACUGACGCUCAGGUGCGAAAGCGUGGGGAGCAAACA